GACUAGAGCACGGAAACGAACCCAAUCUACACACCCUCAGGCUGUCCAAAAAAUGUGGACAAUCCGAAAGAGUUACGCUUAUAGAUAUGCAAAGACUUGCAUAUCUAUAUACGUAACCCUUUCGGACGGGAGAUGCAUAGGGUUACGUGACUUUGACAUUUAAACUACAAGUGUCAUCAGCUCGAUGGCAGGGACAGAGCAAAAGGAGAAGGCGAGAUAGAGGGAGAUGCUCACCAAGCUACACCGUAGACGAAGUAGUCGAGGUCGAGGUCGAUGUCACCUACAUGAGCAUGAACAUUUUAUAAGCAUUCAAGCAUACAUGCAUGCACAUUCGCAAAGAAGCAUACAUUUUAUAAGCAUACAUGCAUGAGCAUGAACAGUUUAUAAGCAUACAAGCAUACAUGCAUGCACAUUUUCAUCCAAGCAUUUUAUAUACAAA
rnacentral:lncRNA from 1 species